UGGUCAGUCACGCCUGGUCCACACCAAAAUUCCAAAACAAACACGUUACCUACUACUCAUAUGCUAUAGUAGGAGUUAAUACAAACAAAGAAAACCUUAGUCCCACUAUCUAUCUUAUAUAGCAACACUGCUUCAAUGACUUGCAUUUUAUGCUAUGAUAUUUGUACAACAUGGUAAAGGUCUCAUUACCAAAAUCACAUACUUUCUUUAAAUAUAUCAAUUAUGUUGCAUGCCAGUGUUGAAUAGGACCACAAUUUGAAUCAAGACUACUUUACUUAAUUUGUAUCUCAUUAAAAGGAUGCUACAAAUCAGUGAGCCAAUCAAAGGAGGAAAUCACGUGAUUGACAACCAAAACAAGACAGGAUAAGGAUAAGAUAUUUUGCAUCUUUAUAACCACAAGGUCAUAUGUUGAAGCCUUCCUUCUAGCGAUUUCUUUUUGAUCACCAUUCUAACCAGUAACGAACAAAAAGGAAAAAUGGUGACACUACUGGUUUUGCAUUUUGUUUCUUCUUUACAAGUAAUCAACAAAACUCGAUUGAAACAAAAAAAACUUUAAAGGAUUUCCUUUCUUACCUCAAAUCCUUGGAUAUUCCUCUACAAAAGUUCUACCAUUUUGAUACACGUCGAGUCAACAUCUCAAAUUCUCUUGUAGAAUAAAAAAUAUGUUGUAGGUGUCUUGAUCUGGUAUUCACUAAUGAGAGAGAACUUUUUGUCAUCAAAUUGAUAUCACUCCUUGCUACAUUGAGCAAAAGCAAUGUAGCGUCUACUAUCAACUCAACCAUAGUGGUUGUUGACAGCAUACAACUUAUAGCGAGGAUGCUAAGGACUGUUUAUGCAAGGUGUACUUUGAUAGGUCUAAAUCAUAGAUAGGGAAGUCAACAAAAGUAUCCAACUUCCUAGAGCGAGAACUUAUAUAAGAAAAUCUUUUCAACUUUAUAAUGAAAAUAUCUGGUAAUUUACAGAGAUUUAUUUUUUUUUGGCAUUGCUAUACACCAUGCAUUUAGGACACUUCCACUUAUCUCCCAAUAGUUCUUCAUUGAGGUAAUCAUAUAAGCAUGCAUAUAAUGAAAUUGAUUUUGGAACCAUACUGGUCUCCGUUGAAUGGCUUUUCUUAGAAUGAUCAUAAUGCCUUCGUUCUUCAUUUGGCCACCGUACCGAGACCGAAGAACACCCUCUCAAUUGGUGGAAAGAUUCUUCAUUUAUUAGGUAACGCUCCAAGAAAGGCCUGUGAUGUUGCACGUAUAAUUUGAAGAUUUUUCUGUUAGGUUCAUGUUUAGCAUCAUCAAAUUAAAAGCAGAAGUGAUUUAACUUAAGAUAUGAAUAGAGGACCUCAGAAAACUUGUUACGUAUCAUGUCACCUUUACAAUACUGUGGAAUCCUAGCUGCUAGAGGAGUACCAAAUUUAUUGAAGAUACGCUAACUGGAAGUAAAGGUGAUCCAUCGGUGCUCAAUAUGGUCAAAUUCAUAGUCACUCAUAAUAGAAGAAGGCGGUGGACAUGACAUAAAUGUUGACGGCAACGGUAAUGAUAAAAGACUUAUUACAAUGUGCACAAAUCAUAGUUGACCAUUCCUGCCCCAACCACAUGCAAGCUAUAAUGAAUCAUUGUGAGGCUGCCAAUAUUCAGCCUAUUCUUAGUCUGGAAUUUCAUCCACGUCCAUUAUCUCACAAGCCUUUAUAUGAACUUGCUUCGAACUUUUGUGGAGUUCAUUGAGUAUAACCAAGGAACUCAUGCAAAUCUUGUUUUCCUGAGUUACUAAACUGAGUGAAAUUACGUAGCUCUGACUUGACAUCUUGCGGAUUCACUGAGGUAGUACACCUCCAGUUGUUCAUAGCUUCCUUAGCAAGCCUCCAUAUGCUAAAGCGAGCAUAUUCUCUAUAGAUUUUUUGAAGUCUGAAAAGAACUAAGCGGCAAGAUGUGGAGUAUUGUUCAUAUAGCAUGCGUUACCAGUAUUAUCGAGCCCAGUCAAACAUAACUUACAAGCUUUCAAUUCGAAUAAAAUCUCUUCCUUUUCUAAUUUAGAUGUGUCUGAUAGCGUAUUGCCUCGAGGGAAAAGCUUUGUAAGUUCUGAAAAAUCGCAACAAAACUUCUGGUUGGCAA